rnacentral:rRNA from 1 species
UACGUAGGGGGCAAGCGUUGUCCGGAUUCAUUGGGCGUAAAGAGCGUGUAGGCGGCCAGGUAGGUCGGUUGUGAAAACUGGAGGCUCAACCUUCAGAGGUCGACCGAAACCAUCUGGCUAGAGUCCGGGAGGAGGAGAGUGGAAUUCCAGGUGUAGCGGUGAAAUGCGUAGAUAUCUGGAGGAACACCGGUGGCGAAGGCGGCGUUCUGGACUGCUACUGACACUGAGGAACGAAAGCCAGGGGAGCAAACGGG